rnacentral:rRNA from 1 species
UCGAGAAUAUUUAGCAAUGGACGAAAGUCUGACUAUGCGACGCCGCGUGCAGGAUGAAGGUCUUCGGAUUGUAAACUGCUUUUGUUAGGGGAGAAACCUGUACCAUUAAUAGUGGUACAGCUGACGGUACCUGACGAAUAAGCCACGGCAAACUCCGUGCCAGCAGCCGCGGUAAUACGGAGGUGGCAAGCGUUACUCGGAAUUAUUGGGUGUAAAGGGCAGGUAGGUGGUCUUGCAAGUGAGAGGUGAAAUCCCACGGUUCAAUCGUGGAACUGCCUUUCAAACUGCAGGACUUGAGAGUGUUAGGGGAGAAUGGAAUUCCCGGUGUAAGGGUGAAAUCUGUAGAUAUCGGGAAGAACACCAACAGCGAAGGCAAUUCUCUGGGACAUUUCUGACACUGAACUGCGAAAGCUAGGGGAGCAAACAGA